AACGAACGCUGGCGGCAUGCCUAACACAUGCAAGUCGAACGAGACCUUCGGGUCUAGUGGCGCACGGGUGCGUAACGCGUGGGAACCUGCCCUUAGGUUCGGAAUAACUCCCCGAAAGGGGUUCUAAUACCGGAUAAUGUCUUCGGACCAAAGAUUUAUCGCCUUUGGAUGGGCCCGCGUUGGAUUAGCUAGUUGGUAGGGUAAAAGCCUACCAAGGCGACGAUCCAUAGCUGGUCUGAGAGGAUGAUCAGCCACACUGGGACUGAGACACGGCCCAGACUCCUACGGGAGGCAGCAGUGGGGAAUAUUGGACAAUGGGCGAAAGCCUGAUCCAGCAAUGCCGCGUGAGUGAUGAAGGCCUUAGUGUUGUAAAGCUCUUUUACCCGGGAUGAUAAUGACAGUACCGGGAGAAUAAGCUCCGGCUAACUCCGUG
rnacentral:rRNA from 1 species